AAUGAACGUUGGCGGCGUGGAUUAGGCAUGCAAGUCGUGCGGAAAGGCUCCUUCGGGAGUACUCGAGCGGCGAAAGGGAGAGUAACGCGUGGAUAUCUACCCUCGGAUCUGGGAUAGCGGCGGGAAACUGCCGGUAAUACCAGAUGACGUCUCCGGACCAAAGGUGUAAUUCCGUCCGAGGAUGAGUCCGCGUCCUAUUAGCUAGUUGGUAGGGUAAUGGCCUACCAAGGCUGUGAUGGGUACCGGGUGUGAGAGCAUGGCCCGGCUCACUGGGACUGAGACACUGCCCAGACACCUACGGGUGGCAG
rnacentral:rRNA from 1 species